UACGUAGGGUGCGAGCGUUGUCCGGAAUUAUUGGGCGUAAAGCGUGCGCAGGCGGUUGUGCAAGACAGAUGUGAAAUCCCCGGGCUCAACCUGGGAACUGCAUUUGUGACUGCACAGCUUGAGUGCGGCAGAGGGGGAUGGAAUUCCGCGUGUAGCAGUGAAAUGCGUAGAUAUGCGGAGGAACACCGAUGGCGAAGGCAAUCCCCUGGGCCUGCACUGACGCUCAUGCACGAAAGCGUGGGGAGCAAACAGG
rnacentral:rRNA from 1 species